rnacentral:lncRNA from 1 species
CUAAUAAGGCCUAAGUGGGCCUAAACCCAAUUAGGCGCGUGAUCGACAGAUGCGUCGAUCUGUCUUCUCGAUCCGUAAGCGUUUAACUCACGAUCGCAACGCGUGAUAAACAGAUGCGUCGAUCCAUUCCCUCGGUCGAGAAGCGUUGAUUAAACGGAUUGACUCCUCAACGAUCAGUCACUUGCUCGGAUUGAACCUUUUGUUCUCCGAACCAAAGAUAUCAAAUUCAUCGAAGAUCGAUUGCUCGACCAUCAAUGAACUGGGGGGGGACUUACUGUUGGGGAUGGAUUUAAC